UACAGAGGCCUCGAGCGUUAGGCGGAAUCACUGGGCUUAAAGCGUGUGUAGGCGGACCCCUAAGUACCUUGUGAAAUCCCACGGCUCAACCGUGGAACGGCUGGGUAUACUGCCUGUCUUGAGCCAACUAGGGGCGAGCGGAACAGACGGUGGAGCGGUGAAAUGCGUAGAUAUCGUCUGGAACGCCGAAGGUGAAAACAGCUCGCUGGGGUUGUGCUGACGCUGAGACACGAAAGCCAGGGGAGCGAACGGG
rnacentral:rRNA from 1 species